rnacentral:lncRNA from 1 species
GGAAGGGACAGCCCACUGCAGAGGGACAGGUGGCAGACGCCACUGACGGCGCCCACAUCCCCUCGGCCCCGGGCCCGGGUGCUAGGCACAGCUCCAGGCCAUCGCGCGGCCACCGCAGGCCCCCGCGACCCUUCCCCGAGGACUUGCUCUGCCCACAGGGGCCCCCUUCAACCUUGAGACCCAGGGUGGCCCUCGCUGAGCUGCCCCUGCAUGCGCCGCCAGCGCUGGGGGAGCGGCCUGCUGCCCACACACACCCGCUGCCAGCUCCCAUCGCCGUCCCUCUGCUCUCUCCCCGCGCUGGCCUUCCUGGACCUCCCCCACAGAAAGUGCACCCCGUCCUCUUGGGAUCUGCUCUCAAGGGAACCCGCGCUUAGACGACAUCACCCGUAGAAGGUCUGAAACCACGGAACACCGCGCGACCCGGGGAUCGAGGAGGGCCCGAGGCAGGAAGGCCACCGUCACAGCCGGAGGCAGACGGCGUCGGCGAGUGGAACCCAAAAGCAAAGGCGGGUGCCUAGAGAAGACCCAGAGUUCAGCGAGUGAGCCCGUCAGCCGCUGGAGUAGGGAGCAGGCGAGCUGUGCGCAGAGAAGCACGACCAAGGCUCGGGCGCUCUCACCAUCGAGACACCACAACCAACACCCUCCUCGCCAUUGCCAUGGCAGUGGUGGCUCGUGGUUCAAGUGCCAAAGGUGGGGACAGGAAAAAGAUCAAGAGGUCAACAUAGAGGACGAUUGUCCUCGUCAACAUCUGUACUGAGAGUGCCCAUGGCGUUGCCGAGCACUCCUCCCGCGGCGGAGGCCCUGCAGACUGCAUCACCGCCUCCGAGUACUUCCCGCCAGAACCAGGGUGACGGGGUCUGGAAAACAACGGCAAGACCUGCCCCAGACGAGUCUCCAUCUCUGAAGUGGAAGCCCUUCGUUCAAGCCAACCGCGUGGGCAGAGCCUCAUCCGCGCGAAAGAUGCAAAGCAGAGAAAGAGAUGGUGAGAAAACCAGGUCUCAGCG